UGCAGGUGCGACAGGUGUCCAGCUGGCUUUCAUACGGCCCGCCCGCUCGGUUCGAUACCGAGACCUGCAGCC
rnacentral:tRNA from 1 species